UACAGAGGUCCCAAGCGUUACUGAGAAUCACUGGGUUUAAAGGGUGCGUAGGUGGUCCGUUAAGUCAGUUGUGAAAUCCCCGGGCUCAACCCGGGAACUGCUUCUGAUACUGGCGGACUUGAGGCCAGUAGGGGUCACUAGAACUGACGGUGGAGCGGUGAAAUGCGUAGAUAUCGUCAGGAAUGCCGGUGGUGAAGACGGGUGACUGGGCUGGUUCUGACACUGAGGCACGACAGCGUGGGGAUCAAACAGG
rnacentral:rRNA from 1 species